GGACAACGGCUGGCGGCGUGCAUAACACAUUCAAGUCGAACGGAGUUAUUGGAAGGAAGUCUUCGGAUGGAAUGAAGAUAACUUAGUGGCGACGGGUGAGUAACGCGUGAGCAACCUGCCUUGGCAUGGGGGAUAACGUUUGGAAACGAACGCUAAUACCGCAUAACGUAUACGGACGGCAUCGUCUGUAUACCAAAGGAGCAAUCCGCUGAAAGAUGGGCUCGCGUCCGAUUAGCUAGAUGGUGAGGUAACGGCCCACCAUGGCGACGAUCAGUAGCCGGACUGAGAGGUUGACCGGCCACAUUGGGACUGAGAUACGGCCCAGACUCCUACGGGAGGCAGCAGUGGGGAAUAUUGGGCAAUGGGGGAAACCCUGACCCAGCAACGCCGCGUGAAGGAAGAAGGCCUUCGGGUUGUAAACUUCUUUUACCAGGGACGAAGAACGUGACGGUACCUGGAGAAAAAGCAACGGCUAACUACGUG
rnacentral:rRNA from 1 species